UAAGGAAUAUUGGACAAUGGUCGCAAGACUGAUCCAGCCAUGCCGCGUGCAGGAUGAAGGCCCUAUGGGUUGUAAACUGCUUUUAUACGGGAAUAAACCCUCCGACGUGUCGGGGGCUGAAUGUACUGUAAGAAUAAGGGUCGGCUAACUUCGUGCCAGCAGCCGCGGUAAGACGAAGGACCCAAGCGUUAUCCGGAUUCAUUGGGUUUAAAGGGUGCGUAGGCGGAUUGAUAAGUCAGUGGUGAAAGCCUGCAGCUUAACUGCAGAACUGCCAUUGAUACUGUCGAUCUUGAAUAUGUUUGAUGUGGGCGGAAUAUGACAUGUAGCGGUGAAAUGCUUAGAUAUGUCAUAGAACACCGAUUGCGAAGGCAGCUCACAAAGCCAUAAUUGACGCUGAGGC
rnacentral:rRNA from 1 species